UACGUAGGAGGCAAGCGUUGUCCGGAUUUAUUGGGCGUAAAGAGCUCGUAGGCGGCUUGUUAAGUCGUUCGUGAAAACUUGGGGCUCAACUCCAAGCUUGCGGUCGAUACGGGCAGGCUAGAGUUCGGUAGGGGAGACUGGAAUUUCUGGUGUAGCGGUGAAAUGCGCAGAUAUCAGGAGGAACACCGGUGGCGAAGGCGGUUCUCUGGGCCGAUACUGACGCUGAGGAGCGAAAGCGUGGGGAGCGAACAGG
rnacentral:rRNA from 1 species